ACAGCAUGCGGCCAGUGCUUUGAAUGGAGGACGUGGGGAAGAAGUAAUCCUACAGCAUACAUAUGAGCUGGGUUGGUGCUUGCAAUGGCGAAUGAGGAGGAUAAAUCACUUGGAACUGGUGCUUUGAGAAUAGAACCAAGAUGGAAUUAAUAACCAUGCAAUUUGCUUCAUAAUGGACGGAUGAACCUGGUACAUCAUGACAUCAAUCCCCAACUUGAACUGAUUAAAGAAGACCUCGCCAAUUUUAUAAAUUUUGCUCCUUGACAAAGUGGAGGCGACAGCAAUGAAUCUGAAAUACAAUUGGGAAAAACAGCGACUUCUAUAAUAAUAUUAUUUUUCAUUAAAAAUAUACAUUCCAAUUACAUAAAA